AAAAACGUAUCCACCACUUUCUGAUUUAAGGCGAUCGCCGCCGCCUCCGUUUGCGCCUUCCAGGGCCCAAGAGUUCCCCACUUUGCCCCCAAAGCCUCUCAAAGUGUUGCCUAAGCCUGAGGAAGAUAAAAAGUUUUUUGAACAGUGGAGAUUUUAAAACAGACUGCGUGCACAAUAUGCAGAGCACGCUCUUUGGAGAAAACCCCCUCAGGGGGGUCUCACCCAGGCUAAGAAAAAAGCGGACCGGUCUGCCAAAAGUUUUAAAAACUGAUAAUGCCCCUUUGAAGCUGCGGAGAGAUUGUUUACUAACUUUAAAUGAUUUCCAAAAAUUAUUAGGGGACAUUAAUUGGAUACACCCUCAUUUAAAACUGACUACUGCAGAUUUAAAGCCUUUAUUUGAUUGCUUAAAAAUUGAUCCUAAUUCCAGUUCUAAGAGAAAGUUGACUAAUGAGACAGAGUUAGCUCUUGUUGAAGUGUAUGAGACUUUAAAUGAUCAGUUAAUUAGGAUUAAUAUUACCAAAAGAUGAGAUUAAAUUAUUCUUCCAACAAAACAUACACCUACAGGGUGCUUGUGACAAAAAGGCCCAUUGGUUCCAUCUACCAGUGAUCCCAAGAAAAAUAGUUUUAUCUUAUCCCAGCUUGGUGGCACAAUUAAUUAUAAAAGGAGGAAAAAAGAAGUGUGGAACUUUUUAGAAAAGAAGUAGCAAAUAUAAUAAUUUCACUCAAUAAGGAUCAACUGCAAGUCUUUUACAAAAUAGUGAUGAUUGUCAAGUUGCCCUGAUAGAUUUCAGGGGUCAAAUUUUGUUUCAUUUGCCCUCAAGCCCCCACAGUAGUUAAAAGUUCAAAAAUGUUAGAUUGGCAGUUUGAGGAUACCUGUGGAACUUUCCAACUGUAUGUAGUUCCUACGCUCCCCUUUACCCUAUGGGGGAGGGACGUGCUGUCUCAAAUAGGAGAUACUCAGAGAAGGGUUUUCUCAAUUUCUUAGUUAUCAACAGGUGGUACAAUUAACAAUACUUUAUAUAUUGUUAUAAAUAC
ensembl:lncRNA